rnacentral:lncRNA from 1 species
CCCGCCGAGCACGAGGCUCGCCCUCACCCGGCCGGGCUUCUGAUCAAGGCCGAGUUGGGACAUGCACUUCGGGUAGGAGGUGGCAUCUGGGAGCCGCUGAUAAGGGACCUCCUGCAAGGUGUGCCUGGCAGAGCUGACCAGAGAGGUGACCCCCUGGCCAGAGAGGACUGGCGGGGUGGCCGGGAGGCGGAAACUUUUCCUGCUCCAAAGUGGAGAACAUUCGUUUCUAAUUUCCCAAUCCCACAAGGCAGGCCUCAGGCAAAGUUCCCCCUUGCUCCUCAGGCUUAGCCGGCUUGUGCAGCAACUAGCCUUCCAGAAACCUCAGCUGGAGUGCCAGGGGAAGGGCUGCACAAGUCAAGGACCACGGGGAGAUGAGGUCAGGGCCUCGGAGAUGGAGUAGCAGGUUCAUCCUGGGGAGCCUCAUCAAGGAUUCUAUCCAGUGACAUCUGAGCGUGGAGAUGCCGGCCGCAGGUGGGCAGGCGGACCACCGUGGUGCCUUUCUGGAGUGCCAAGGAGUGCCCUGGGAGAAGACAAAUGACCACAUGGGAGGGGAGAAUGAAGCUCUGGCCUGCCCUCAAGGACACGGGUCAUUACCAUGCGGCCCUCCCAGCCCAGCCCAAAGCAUCUGCUUGCCCGGAAAUAUACACAACAGAAGGACAGAGAGUCGGGACACACAGGAGAGCACUAGGAAAGCAUCACCACGGAGGAAUCCCACCAUUCAGCCACAAGGCUACCUGGCUUUCUCGUUCUUCCUCCUGAUACCCCAGGAGGGUCUGCAGCCAGGGUGCAAGGGCCAUUAG